UGCUGUGUUUGCCUGUGAUUACCCCUUGUAACCUGGCUGUGAAAGGUUGGCCCUGACCCUGCGUUGACUCUGGCGGAGGGGGUGGUAUUUGGAGGUGGGGGUGGGGUCUAUAUGUUGCUGGAUGUCAUGUGCUAGCGGGUGGGCGCUCCACUGUGUGGAGACAGGGCCAAUGGAAGACCGGGCUGGCCCGGCUCUGGAGCUAAUCAUUGUUUACUAGUCUCAUUUCCACUUCUCAGUGAGCUACUGUCACGCACACCACCGACAGGGAGGAAGGAAGAGGGAAAGGGGGUAGGGGUUUGGGUGUGAGGCAGGGUGGGGGGCAGCCGGGAGAGGAAAGCCAGGGGUCCAACAGGCAGUUGGGGAGCUGUUGGCACAUAGGGAAGGGAAGAGCAGAGAGAACGCAGGAAUCUGAAUGAAGAUUAAGGGUCUUUCUCUUUUUUCAUGACAGAACAAAGGUGAGCCAAGACUGAAAAGCUGCAGCCAAAAACAACCCAGACAAACCAGUAAACAGACCAACAAAAACAUCUUCUGGGCCCGCACCAUCUCAGGCAGCCAGGAGACUGUUCCAGCCUGGGAUCCCAGCAGGUGGGGAGGCUGAGCUGGUCUGAUUGAGGUGGAGGGGGCCAGUGGCUCAGCUACAGGCACACUGAACAUUACGUGCAGUAUGGAUACUACCAGCAGGUUGCUCUUCUCAUUGUGUAAUUGGGCGGAUAAUGUUCCGUGAUUCCCUGUCUUUUGCACCUUCACAUGUUCCACUUGAGCAGCUCGGUGAAUUUUAGUGUCCUGAAAAUGAAGCCAGGUCAACGAGCGGUCGGGUUACCCCCCUUCACUGCUCCAUUCAUUGACUGUUCUGGGCCCUGCAGAGUGAUGCUGUAGUGUCAGUGGUACACAUAUACCACUGCAUAAUUAUAGCUGGAAAAAGCUUACCUUGUGAUUUAGUUCAAUUGUACUAUAAAUUAAGAAUGGUAAUGGGGU